rnacentral:rRNA from 1 species
AGUGAACGCUGGCGGUAUGCCUAACACAUGCAAGUCGAACGGCAGCGCGCUAAUCGCUGUGUCUUCGGGUGGGGAACGGGCGGGCAAGUCAUCAGUACGUACGCAUGUGCGUUGUCGUAGGGGAUGACGGAGUGGCAAAUACGCCAAUAACUCAUAAGACCAACGGGUGGGAGCAUCGGAUCUUGGGCCCUUGGACGGUUGGAUGAGCGGAUAUCGGAUUAGCUAGUUGGCGGGGUAAAGGCCCACCAAGGCGACGAUCCGUAGCUGGUCUGAGAGGAUGAUCAGCCACACUGGAACUGAGACACGGUCCAGACUCCUACGGGAGGCAGCAGUGGGGAAUCUUGGACAAUGGGCGCAAGCCUGAUCCAGCAAUACCGCGUGGGUGAAGAAGGCCUUCGGGUUGUAAAGCCCUUUUGUUGGGGAAGAAAACGAUCAGGUGAAUACCCCGGCGGGAUGACGGUACCCAAAGAAGAAGCACCGGCUAACUUCGUG